UGGGUAAUCUGCCCUCGAUUCUGGGAUAGCCCGGGGAAACCCGGAUUAAUACCGGAUAGCCUCUCGAGCUCUCGAGCUCGUGAGAAAAGGUAGCUUCGGCCUCCGAUCGAGGAUGAGCCCGCGGCGGAUUAGCUUGUUGGUGGGGUAAUGGCCUACCAAGGCAUCGAUCCGUAGCUGGUCUGAGAGGACGAUCAGCCACACUGGGACUGAGAUACGGCCCAGACCUCUACGGGA
rnacentral:rRNA from 1 species